UCCGAUGUAGUCUAGUGGUUAUGUUUUGCGGCUCUCACCCGCAAGGCCCGGGUUCGAUUCCCGGCAUCGGAA
rfam:Pristionchus pacificus strain PS312 contig11840, whole genome shotgun sequence.